GCCCCUGAGCCCCCAGGGCAAGGGGCAGCAGGGGGCAGUGGGGACCCGGAGUUUGCUGUCCCACAGAACACCUCACGUGUAACAAGGUUGUUUUUCAAUGCCUGUCCCAGUGAGCCAUGAACACCACAGCCUGGGCUGUGAGCAGGAGGCAAAGGGGAUCUGGAAGGAAGUUCGUACCAUGAGGAGCUGAGUGGAGCAGCCGCUCCCACCAAAGCUCAGCAGGAAGCAGGAGUGAGCAGCAAUGGAAGGCAGCAUGAAAUAACCUCUGGGGUGUGACCCCCUGACUGAGCUCACCAUAGAGCUUCAGGGCUUGGAAGAGGUGUCUCCAGACCAGGUGUCCUGCACAGACCUUAUCCUGCUGGUUGCCCCUUCCCAACUGCUCCCAGUUGUUUUCCUAACAUUCACUAAGCACACAGAAAAGUCCCAGGAAAGACACAAGUCUGCCAAAUGACUCUGGGAAGCUUAGCUCGUGUUCAAGUUGGUUUCUGCAGCCUGUUUCUUGGAUUUUUUUGAACCAACUGAACACUGUCAGGAGCAACAGGACAGGCUGGAGGGGUUCUCCCAUUCCUCCCCACCACAUGCAUUGGGACACUGUGCUCCACAGUCACUCUUUUCUUUCCUCUGGCAUUGCAGGUGGCAACAGGGCUAUGCUGAACUGCCUCACUUCACUGCCAUGCCCCUGCACGACCUCUUCAGUUCCAGUAAUUCCCACAUCCCAUGCAGGUAUAGAUGCAAUUCCUUUGUUAACCAAAGCACCCCUCGAAAUUUUGACAGAAAAGAAAUGGCCCUUCAUCACAUUGGUUUGAAUUUUUCUCUACAGGUUGGUGGGUGGUGUUUUGUCUUUCCCUAAUUCUUGAACCAAGAUCAUUGUCCCAAAUCUCUCUGCAGUGACCAGUGGCUCAGCUGGGAAUGCCUUGGUCCAGCAGAUUUAUUAACCCUUUUUAACUUUUCAAAGCUGUUAAUUCAUGAUCAUGGCUCUAUAAUUUCGUUGGUGGUUGCCUAGGGAACAGUGAUCACGACUUGAUUACAUUCAAUUUGGGCAGAGAAGAAUCCAUUCAGUAAACAGAAAUAUAGGAUGCUUUAAAAAGUCAAACCCCAUAAAGACAAGAAAAACUGAGAAAAAGCAGUGAUGGGGAAAGGCAGAUAGAAAAUUAUAGUAAAAGGUAAUUUCUUAGGAUUUAUUUCAAGAGUCACCAAGCAAACACCAGAGAAGAGAAACCCCCACCCUACUUCAGUGGUGAAUUGAAACUAUUAAUUAGCAAUAAAGAAGAAGGCCAUAACAAAUGGAUGAAAAGGGAAAUAAUUAACAAUUUUCUCUAUUUCAUAACUGGUAAUUUGCAUCAGCAGGGUGAGCUGGGUGCCUGCAGUCACUCUGUAGGGAAUUGUGUCCCUGGCAUUGCACCUCCCAGCUUGUCUCAGCAGGAAUUUGCUCCCUCAUUCCUGCCUCGGGCAUUGAAAACCAGCCUGGAUUUUGGCUGCAAAGGGGUUGGGUUCCUGGAGAGCCUCUGGAGAGCAGGAUGGAGCAGAUCCCAAGGUCAAACUUUAGUGCCUUGAAUCUUCAGGCUCUCAAAUCCAUGGCAUAUCUGACAGGACCAAAGCCAGGUUUAAGAGUCCAGUGUUUCCUGGAUCCUUUGGAGCCCUUCCUAGAAAUCAGCCUGGCCUUUGCCACCUCUCCUCCGGUUUGGGAAGGUCAGGGACCUGCUGCCUGUGUCCUGCUGCAGGGUCUGCCCUGAGCACAUGCCAGCCCAGUAGUUUUUCAGCAGAAUUCCCACUUCUGAUGUGUUUGCAAAAUACACUGCUGUUAAUUCUUAUGUGGUAAGCAAAUUACACUCAAAAUAUAUUUUCAUCUCAGUUAA